CUUCUGUGGUUUCCCCCCAGUGGAAAAGUCCCAUUGUGAUACUGAAGAGAGCAUCUGCGACUAAAGGCGUGGCGAGCCGUUGUUACUCGACAAUCAACCCCCACUUCAGCCUGCUUCUCCGGAAAAUCAACGCCAGAAACUGGAUUUUUAAUCUAAACAUCAAGGGUGGAGAAAUCGUGUAAAGUGAGUGGUCGUUGGAUGCAGCAGUCGCCUAACAAACACUAAGACCGGGGUUUACCUGUCCGUUAGCUUUGGAGGGUGAAACUGCAGCCGUUUCUUCCUUUCCAGC